GCAGCGCGCGCCCUCUCACAGCCGGGAGGGCUUCUCUUCAGGACCCACCUGCGCUGCCGCCGGGCUGCACACCGCGUACUGCGGGCGCUCGGCCACUCGGGAACGCGGAGGCAGGGAGCGGGGUGCCGCUGCCCUCCAACCCGGCCCCGUGCUCGCAGCCCGGCCAGGCUCGCCCCCGCACCGCACGUUACGCCGAGCUCCCGUUAACCGAAAAUAAUUAUAAUAAAAAAAACUUUUAAAACCUGAAGUACUUGCACCGGCUCUCGGAUGUCACCUCCUGCACUCGGGUGCUCCCUCAGAAGAGAAGCCCGACCCGAGCAGCGCGGCGCCCGCCCACCUCACAGCGCACCCCGCAACGCUCCGCCGCUCCCUUCUGGGCCGUCCCGUACCGCGGGAGGCCCCGCGCCGCCCUCCGGCCGCACCUGACGCCCCCCGCUCCGCUCAGCUCAGCUCACCUGGCUCCGGGCCGCCCCUGGGCGGUGCUUCUGUCGGCGGGGGCGCGGAGGGGGCCCGGCAGCACCGUGCCGCGCAGAUGGCGGCGAAAAGUGCAGGUUUCAGUGAGGGUGGUGUGGCUCGUGUCAGACUCCUUGACCCUGUGGAGGUGCUUUGGAGACUUGGCACCAAAGUGGUGCCUGCAGUCAGUGAGUGUGCCUGUAACACGACAUACAGAGGGAAAAUCCUUCAUUCAUCUUUACCAAGCUCCA
rnacentral:lncRNA from 1 species